rnacentral:lncRNA from 1 species
CAAUUUUGUUAAUUUAAGCUAAUAAACAUUGAUAAUGAAUUAUUCACUUGCAAGAGAAUAAUUCGACCUCAUUAAAUCCAUAUUCAUGUCAACUCCAAUUUAACCCUGUAGAAAGUGAUGAAAUAAAGCAUGCAUUGUCCGUGUAUGGGUAUUUAAAGGAAAAGAAUUCAACAUUGAAAGUGAAACAAAGGUAAAUAAUUUGUAUAACUGAUUCGAUCCACACAAAAUCAUUCUUAUAAAGGUAAAAACGAUGAUAAAAAUAAAUUUUUAAUCUAUAACACAAAAUUUAACAAACCUAUAAAAAUCCAAUUGCACGAGUUGCUUAAUCUAUUUAUAUCUAUGUUCAUGUUUACAUCGCUUAUAUGGUCAUAGAAGGUCAACUUGAUAGUUAAUUAGAUGGUGUCUUGGCUAAAUUUCACAUGUAACGAAGCAACAUCUUGUUGAGACCAUGUCCUGUAAAUUGAUUAUUUGAUAUUUUUGAUAGUUUGGAAAAAUGUUUUACAUUGUUAUAAAUAAAAUAUAAGAAUUUGUUUGAGCUGUGAACAUGAAUUUGGCAGCUAGUGCCCCUUUAAGGGUAUAUUAUAACUAUAAAUUGUGUACUACAAAGAGCUCAUUUUAAAUGCCUCAUUUCAUUUGGGACUGUUCCAGUAGGGUUUGAAGCCUUUUUAGUUUGCCUCAACCAUGCAAAAUAUUCAAUUGAUUAUUUCAAAUAAAUUAUUUUUACUAUAAGGUGCACACAAGCUACUGUUAUGAUAUUGUAAUUAUUGUAUUUAUUUAUGUUGGCCUGAUUUGUAUUGUGUGGCCUGAUAGUUGUUUACAGAAUAAUCUUAGAACUGUGCAGUUUAGAAAUCACUGGAACAAUUACAGAAUGAUUGGAACUUUCCAUAAUGAUCCUAAUAAAAGAUGCGUUAUAUAAACUUCUACAUUUUACUAGAAACUUCUGUUGUAACUUUCUAGGAUGUUCCAUUAUAGACUGUUCUAGAAUCUUCCAUGACAACUAUAUAUAUACAGACACUAAAGUUAAACACUCACUCUUGGACUUGGACUUAGACAUCGAUAGACAUUAGCAUUCACAGCAUUUGGAUUGACACUUUUAUUCUACAAACAACAUCAUACUGGAUUGUGACCUUAGUAGUGAACGUAAUAUUCAGAUUGGAUUCCGAAAGAUAUCCAGAUACAGAUAAAGAUAAAAGAUUGGACUCAUAUUUUGACAGUUAAGUUGACAGUAAUAUUUGUGUAAUACUUCUUGUAAACUUUUGUAUAAUAAAUAUUGUUAAAUUUUAUUAUUGAUUUGUGUCUUUUGU